rnacentral:rRNA from 1 species
UAGGGAAUCUUCCGCAAUGGACGCAAGUCUGACGGAGCAACGCCGCGUGAGUGAAGAAGGAUUUCGGUUCGUAAAACUCUGUUGUUAGAGAAGAACAGCGCAUAGAGUAACUGUUAUGCGUGUGACGGUAUCUAACCAGAAAGCCACGGCUAACUACGUGCCAGCAGCCGCGGUAAUACGUAGGUGGCAAGCGUUGUCCGGAUUUAUUGGGCGUAAAGCGAGCGCAGGCGGUCAAUUAAGUCUGAUGUGAAAGCCCCCGGCUCAACCGGGGAGGGUCAUUGGAAACUGGUUGACUUGAGUGCAGAAGAGGAGAGUGGAAUUCCAUGUGUAGCGGUGAAAUGCGUAGAUAAAUGGAGGAACACCAGUGGCGAAGGCGACUCUCUGGUCUGUAACUGACGCUGAGGCUCGAAAGCGUGGGUAGCAAACAGG